UACGUAGGGUGCGAGCGUUAAUCGGAAUUACUGGGCGUAAAGCGUGCGCAGGCGGUCUGUUAAGACCGAUGUGAAAUCCCCGGGCUUAACCUGGGAACUGCAUUGGUGACUGGCAGGCUUUGAGUGUGGCAGAGGGAGGUAGAAUUCCACGUGUAGCAGUGAAAUGCGUAGAGAUGUGGAGGAAUACCGAUGGCGAAGGCAGCCCCCUGGGUCAAAACUGACGCUCAUGCACGAAAGCGUGGGGAGCAAACAGG
rnacentral:rRNA from 1 species